rnacentral:rRNA from 1 species
UGGGGAAUAUUGGACAAUGGGGGCAACCCUGAUCCAGCCAUGCCGCGUGAGUGAUGAAGGCCUUAGGGUUGUAAAGCUCUUUCGCCGGUGAAGAUAAUGACGGUAACCGGUAAAGAAGCCCCGGCUAACUUCGUGCCAGCAGCCGCGGUAAUACGGAGAGAGCUAGCGUUGUUCGGAAUUACUGGGCGUAAAGCGCACGUAGGCGGCCAAUCAAGUCAGGGGUGAAAUCCCGGGGCUCAACCCCGGAACUGCCCUUGAAACUGGUAGGCUAGAAUACUGGAGAGGUGAGUGGAAUUCCGAGUGUAGAGGUGAAAUUCGUAGAUAUUCGGAAGAACACCAGUGGCGAAGGCGACUCACUGGACAGUUAUUGACGCUGAGGUGCGAAAGCGUGGGGAGCAAACAGGAUUAGAUACCCGCGUAGUCC